GGAGGGGCCUUGGCUCAGUGGUAGAGCAUCUGUUUGGCAUGCAAUAGGCCACAGGUUCAAUCCCAGGCACCUCCA
rnacentral:tRNA from 1 species